GCAAGAAAAAUGGACGAAAGGAAACUAUGGAGCAUGGACGCUUUUUUCACCUGAUUGGCUCACCACGUGACCCGCUGCGGCCAAUUGCGUGCGAUUAUUUUGUCGGCGGGAAACCGAAGCAGGAAGUGGAGCGGAGAAGCGAGAGAGAAUCAACCGUAAGGAAAGAUGUCGAAUCCGCCAUUUAAACCCCUAAAAAGAAGAAGAAUCAGAUGCAGACCGAGGAGGAGGAAGGAGCGCCUCUUCCUCUUCAUCCUCCUGUGAAGCGUCACCGCGGGGUUAAUCCAAACGCUCCAGGGGAAAGGCAUCCUUCGCGAGCUUCUGCAUGCAUCCACAUCCAUCCAUCCAUUCGUGCUCAGAACUCUCCCCAAG